CCAAAGUGGGUCUCAGCGAGCUGGAGGACACGAGCAGGGAAGACACACGGGAGGGAGAAAACAAGAGAGGGAAAGAGAAGAUGCCUGGCUAUGAGUGGCUGGCGCUGUUUUUGUCGCCCGCGGCUCAGCGACUGGGCCGCGGGAAAGCAGGCUGAAGGCUGUGUUAAUUAUACCGGGGCGAUCACGCUGGGUCGGGAAGACGCGGCUGGCUCCGAAUGAACUUUUCCCAAAAGGAAAAGGAGGAGAGUGGGAAAGGAAGGUUGCUACCCCGCACGGCUCGUGUGGAAACUAUUUCUGGCCGAUGUCCGGCCCAAUGCCGGUCUCAAACUGCUCUCGGCUUUACCUCUGUCCCAUGCCUGUCUCAAGCUGCACCCGGCUUUACCUCGGCGCAGCCGGUUUCCCAGCGGCUGUGCGUCAGUCUCACCGAGCCCGGAGCUGGGGGCGGAGCUAUGGUCACCCCGAGCGCCGCGCGCCGCAGCCCCACAAUCCGCUCCCCAACUUUUUCCCUUGCUCUGGUACACGAUUCCCGGCCCAGAGAACCGGGAGCAGGCCGUUCUUCAACAGUCGCCUCCCUCCCCAACUCUGAACCCCAUCUGGAAAAUAGAAAAGGAACUCCAAGAUUAAAUAUAUCCUUCUCGUUUGACGCUGAGUUGCUGGUCGACAUAUUUUUAAAAGGAUAUCCUCAAGUCCUAUAGGAAAGACAGGACCACUUCUGGACUAGCUGUAAGGAUGUGUUUUUGUUUUUGUACAACACAAACACGUUUCAUAAACCUUUUAAUGUAGCUCUAUAAGUCUAUUUGGACAUUAAAAGAAGCAAAUGCACAAAGAUAGCUUGGCUUUAUGCCCUCAAUCUAGCAUUAACGAAAAAAAAAUCUGAGAAGUUGUUUCCAUCUCAUCUUUGCCCAAAAAAAAAAGAAAAAAGAAAAGAAAAGCUAAAGAAAGUUUUCAGCUCGCAUCUGUACGCCUUCGCGUGCGCGUUUAUAAACAUCUUCCGCCGGGGUUACCUCCCUCCUGCCACAGUUGCUAAGGCAGAGGCAUCGAGCGAGGGAUCGCCCCCUGAGAGCUGUGUUUACUUAGGUUUUUUUUUUUUUUUAAUCUCUCCGCCAUGUAUGACAAGUGUUACUUCAAGAAAUUCGUCAGCCUUCUACAGAUACUUCCAGUUUUGCUGUAAUGAUCUGCAGAAGAGAACUGCCAUCACUUUAUCACAUCCCAAGGUGUUGCGGGCACUCCGAGAGGGCAGAGUGGCUGCGGCGCGUACUGACCUGGGGGAGGGAGGGCGCCGGCCGGGGCGCGGGCGGGCUGGGGCCGGGGACUGGGCGGGUCCCUCCUCCCCAGGUACCUGGAGCGGGCUCCGGGGCGCCUCUCUGCGAAUAUUUGGAAAAGGUAUGCUUGCCUUUUUUUUUUUCUUUAAUUCCUUUAGGGAGAAGUGAUACCCUUGUGUAACAAUUAGCUCAAACAAUAAAUAUAAUUGGAAAAUCAGUCGGAAUUUCUGAGUUUUUAAUUACGUUUAAUUUUCUACUAAGCCGUAAAAUUACGAAUGCCCCUCAAUUAAACACUUUCCUCUUGUAAAGCGUUUAACAACAAUUAUUCCUUAAUCAGUCUGAAUGUGAGUCACAAAUGGGGCUUUUCCACAUCAAAAGGACGUCCUUCGACGUUACCUUUUAGUCAUAAGUAAGAGGAUUAAUUCCUAUAAUUAAAGGGAUAAAUAUGUGCAUAAAUAUCUCUUUCACUCUCUCUUAAAAAAAAAAAAAAAAGAAAACCACUUUCGUUCUGAGACGUGGUGGGCUCGGGCAGGGAGUUUGCUGUCACCGUCCGCUCCGGCGCGGGUCCCCUGCGGGCGCGCGGUUGGGGCCCGCGGGGCACGGACAGCCUGGCACCUGCGCAGGGCGCACAGAGGCGCGAACUCGAGACUCCGGGACCCCACCAACUCCAGGCCUCGUCCCCAGGACAACAAGCCACCUUCCACCUCUGCCCUGCGGGGGCGGCGACCACAGUGCCUUCGGGUAGGUCUCGGAUCCAGAGGAGAUCAGGCCCCAGCCCUAAGCCACUGCUCCGGGUCGACUCUCCAGGCCACAAAUAAAAAUCGAGCAUGACCUUAAAACUCCUGCGUGAAUAUCUCAUUUACCUAAUGACUUUAUGUCACCUAGGAAGAAGGUCAAUUUCCUCUUAACCUUUUCCCCCGCUGCUGCAGUAAGCAUUCUCCCCUAAUCAAUGGUGGC
ensembl:lincRNA